GUGAUCCCGCCCCUUGUGAUUUGCAUCACCUGAUUCCUAUAAACUGGCGCCAUUUUCUAUGCACGGUCUCAUUCUGCCGCAGUCCGCGUUGUGUCCAGUAGCCGUCCUUUGUCUCCGAGCAAACACUGAGAUUUUUCAACAUGUCUGACGAAGGAAAGCUUUUCAUUGGUGGUCUGAGCUAUGAUACCACAGAGCAGUCUUUGGAGGAGGCGUUCUCAAAAUAUGGAACAAUUGCCAAAGUUGAUGUAAUCAGAGACCGUGAGACAGACCGGUCAAGGGGCUUUGGCUUUGUCACAUUUGAAAAUCCAGAAGAUGCAAAGGAUGCCAUGGCUGCAAUGAAUGGAAAGUCUGUCGAUGGCCGUAUGAUCCGUGUGGAUGAAGCUGGCAAGUCUGGUGGAAGAUCUGGUGGAUUCAGAGGUGGUUCUGGAGGUGGCAGGGGAUUCUUCAGGGGCGGCCGAGGAAGAGGUGAGAGUGGCGGAGGAUACGGUGGAGACAGAAGUUUUGGUGGUGACAGGAGCUAUGGCGGAGAUCGCAGCUAUGGCGGUGGUGACAGAGGCUAUGGUGGUGGUGACAGGAGCUACAGCGGAGGUGAGCGCUCAUAUGGCGGUGGCGGAUACUCAUCCAACAGAAGCGGAGGCUACUCUGGCGGCGGUGGAUACAGAGACAACAGUUCUUAAUCCUACUCCGAUUUAGGAACCAGGGAGGUUACGACCGUUCCGGUGGUUCCUACAGAGACAGCUAUGACAGCUACGCUUGACACGAGUAAAAAAAUCCUGAUUGCAAGAUCAUCCCUUCGCUGGCUGUAUUUAAAAAGAUGUGCUCUUCGAAGACCAUUUUUAUUUUUUUACUUUUUGUUUUCUGGUUCAAUUGUUCUAAUAAAAAGACUCCUUUUUACCGUGUUAACUAUCCGCAGGAUGUUCAAUCUCAUCAAGGCACUACCUAAAAUCCUUGAGCAGUCCUUGAGUUUAAAUCUGUUGAGGGAUUUGAAACUGUCUUUUGUUUUUCAUUUUAGUAUGUGUUUAAGAAACUCUGAACCAUGCGUGAAAAUUGACCUGUUCAACACAGCCUGAUAGCUUCUAAGACCAAUAUUUUUUUAAAAGGAUCUUUCGGACCAAUUCCUAAUUAAAGCUCACUGAAGUGUUAGCGUGCAUUUACAAGAAAAUAUAAAAAAAAUUUAAAGGGGCCGUUUCGCCACCUAAAAUGUUCUGAUCCGAUCCUUGAUAGAAGCUUUAAGCUGUGAUGUGUUCCUUAUGGCUCAUGCCACCUCCAUUUUGUGAUGCAUUCCUUUAGUGAAGCAAGGCAGGCAUGUUGUGUUGAAGCAAUCCUCCUUGAAAAUGCUAAAGAUUUGUAAAUAUUCAUUGUCCAAAGAGUAAACCACACCAAUGGGUAUUUAAGCCUUUGUGUUGGGGCUUUGUUUUCUCUACCCCUGGAUACUUUACUCUUUGGGCCGUCAAAAUUUAUUUUAAGUAUGCUGUACUGUGGACUGAACGUAUCCUCUUAAAAUGUCAAGAUUUUGUUCCUUCUGGGGAAGCAAUGUACUCUGUUCUGUAUCAACACUUCAAUAUUUCUUUUUGUAUUAAUCUGGCUUCAUGAAGCCCAUUAAAAAAUGGAUGGAAAAUG